AAUUCUGUAUUGUAAAUCAAUGAAAUUUUUAUAACAGUAAAGUAGACUACUUGCAUUUAAUGCAUAUAAAUAUCAGUUGUUAUUCUAUAUCUCUCAGUAAAAUGUCUUAGAAAGAUUAUAUUUUAUAUGAUCAGAGCUCUGUAGUUUUCAUUUGUUGGGGCAAUGUUUAUAAUGCAAUGCAAUACCAUGAUGACAUUAAACGUUCCUCAAAAGCUUGAUGUAUAGUAUUUGAUUCUCAGAUUUCAAAAAGCCUUUUCUAAAAAAAAUAUUUUAGAUUUUAGAGCAAAAACACACAUGUACCACAACCUAAAGAUGCACAGUUUUAGAAUUAUACUAAACUUUUACUUACUAAAAAGUCUGAACUAUCAAUCAAAGGGCAAGUGUACAAGUUUGUCAGCAAAAUUGUUUAUGCUGAUAUUUUAAAAUUCAUCCAUCCAACAGGAUACAGUAGGCUUUACAGCAGGGAUCCUCAAAUCUGGCCUACGAGAUCCACUUUCCUGCAGAGUUUAGCUCUAACCCUAAUCAAACACACCUGGGCAUGCUAAUCAAUGUGUUCAGGAUCAUUAGAAGAUCUGAGGUAGGUGAGUUUGAUCAGGGUUGGAGCUAAACUCUGCAGUGUAUUGGCCCUCCAGGGCAAGAUCUGAAGAACCCUGCUUUACAGGGUUAAGUGGAGUACAGAGUUAUGCUAACAAGUAAUUUAUUCUUAAUGAUGAAUAUUUUUAUGUUAUUCUGCAGUUGGUUGUGAGUCCAUCCCUGAACCGAUAGUCGAGCAGGAGGAGGAAUCACCACUGCAGCAGGAAUCCGCCAAGUACAUUAAAAAGAAACAGCCAUCCAAGAAAAUCAAGAGCAAGUCAGAGGCAGAUCUGCUCAGACAUGUUCCUCAGUCACCAGCUCUCCUCUGUCUGAGGUAUUCAACAUGUACCAUUCCCCCUAACAACAUAGAAAUAUUUAGACUGAGGAAGCCAUUAAACAGGAACAGUGAGGAAAGAUAUCUGAUACAGUUGAAAGGAUUCAAACAUCGUCUCUGAUGUUAAUUGAAACAGAAGCCACUCUUUCAUGUGUCUUUCAUCUCUUAAUACAAAUUCAAAGUUCACAUGUCGUCUGGGUAUCGUAUAUCAGAUCACCAAAUAGACUCUGGAGUAACACUAUAUAUUUAUAAACAUGGAUUGUUGCCUAUUAAACACCCUAAAUUCAGAUCCAUAUAAUUCAAGCAGUGGCUUAACUGCCGGCAAUACAGGCGAGGCAACCACAUUGGGGCCCUCUAAAUUUUUUUAAGUUUUAUGAUUUCAGUAACAGAUAAUACAGCAUACCUCGCUGUUUUAUGCACAGACUUAACAAAAUGUAUUGUAAUUAUAGUAAUUAUUGUAAUUCUUACACACUAUGUAUCCAGUUGACUCAAUUAUUAAUCCUAAAUGUAGCUUCAUUAAAUAAAAUUCAGCCUAGCAACUAUAUAUAAACA
ensembl:lncRNA